rnacentral:rRNA from 1 species
GACGAACGCUGGCGGCGUGCCUAACACAUGCAAGUAGAACGCACAGUUUAUACCGUAGCUUGCUACACCAUAGACUGUGAGUUGCGAACGGGUGAGUUACGCGUAGCUAACCUGCCUGGUAGCGUGGGAUAACUAUUGGAAACGAUAGCUAAUACCGCCUAAUAUUCAUUAUUGCAUGAUAAUUGAUUGAAAGAUGCAACUGCAUCACUACCAGCUGGACCUGCGUUGUAUUAGCUAGUAGGUGAGGUAACGGCUAACCUAGGCGGCGAUACAUAGCCGAACGGCGUGGGGGAGCGGCCACACUGGGACUGAGACACGGCCCAGAGUCAUAGGGGAGGGAGCAGUAGGGCAACUUCGGGAAUGGACGAGAGUCUGAGCGAGAAAGGCCGAGUGAGUGAAGAAGGUCGUCGGAUCGGAAAGCUCUGUUGUAAGAGAGGAACGGGUGUGAGCGUGGAAAGUUCACUCUGUGACGGUAGUUGACCAGAAAGGAACGGCUAACUACGUG